rnacentral:lncRNA from 1 species
AAGAACUUCUAGUAAUUGAUUUUGCCCCAGAACCUAAUCAGUAGGCUUUGGCCUCCACUGAAAAGAUCUGGUUAGGUCCAACCAUUAACAUGAUUUGAUUUGGUGAAUCGGACCAAUAAAUGAUCAGGCCCGACUUUGGCCGGCCAACCUGACCACCAUCAAAAAGACUCAAACCAAAUUAUCAUAUUAUGAAUGAUAAUUUCAUUAGUCAAUAAGCAC